GCCGCGGCGGCGACUUUAUUUGCAAUUCCAAAAUUUUCUUGCAAAUUUAAAUUCAUUUUUUUAGGAAAAAAAAAUAAAAAUGGUUUUUUAAAAAUCAUUUUCUCGAAUAAAUUAUUAUUAAAAAUUUAUUGCACCCUUAUUAUUAUGAUUUUUAUCAAAAUUUGUUUUUUUAAAAAAAAAUUAACAGCUAUAAAUAUCUAUUAUAUUAUAAUAUAAAAUAAAAUUAUUCCAACGACCUUCGAGUCGACGCCAUGGUGUCGCUCUCCUUCUCUUCUUCUGUCCGCCCUUGAUCUGCCAUCCUUUUGCCAUACCCGUCGUCGCCGCUCCUCACCAACCCUAAACAUAAACUGCAGCCCCUACCGUUGAAAGCUCUGUUGCAGGUUAGCGAGGAGAAUCCUCUUGGUCGUCGCCUUGUCUGCUCCGAUCCAAGGAUCGGAACCAUCGAAAGAGAUGGAAAUGGAAGUGAUGGACCGGUUCGUGGGGGUGGCCAACACGUCGCCGCUGCUGCCGGGGAGGUGCUUCGGAAAUACUUUCGCCGGAGCUUCGUGAUCAUCAAUAAGGAGGAUCUCAGUCCAGUGACGGUUGCGGAUAGGGAGGCGGAGGAUUCCAAUUUCCAUCGUUUCAAUCAUAUUGGCGAGCUUUCCUAGACAUGCUAUUUUGGGGGAGGAGAAUGGCUGCAGAUCAGCAGAUGUAAGGUGGAGUCUGCUGACUACGUUUGGGUUCUAGAUCCAAUUGAUGGCACCAAGAGCUUCAUUACAGGGGAACCUUUGUUGGGAGUGUCUCUGCUGAACUUGGAAGAUGUGUUAAAAUCUUGUAAGCUGCAUCAAAGUGUGUUGGACCUGGAGAGUGCAUAAACUGACUUGCAAUGCUAACGCAAAAGCUAUAUCAGGUCGAGUAUGUGAAAGGUAGAUAAGUCGAUAGUUGUCAUUAGCCCCAAUAGCCCUCGCUAUAGCGAAUAGCGAGGCGAGGCGACGGCUAGGGGCGAUGAGGGGCUAUGCGCAACGAUAUUGACGAUUGCGAUCGCUAUUGGCACUAUCCUCGCUAUAGUGAGGAUAGCAAUAGCACCCGUAGCAGGGCUAUUGCAAAGUGUAGCACAGAUUUAUUUUUUUAACCCUUUUGCAUAAUUUUU